rnacentral:rRNA from 1 species
AAGGUAGCAUAAUAAUUUGCCUCUUAAUUAGAGGCUGGAAUGAAUGAAUAUACGAGAGUUAAGCUGUUUCACUUCUACAAAUAAAAACUAAUCUUUAGGUGAAGAAGCCUAAAUCAUAUAAAAAGACAAAAAGACCCUAUUGAGCUUUACUAAAAUAAUUAAUUACAAAAAAGAACUUCUAUUUAAAUUUAAUUUUGCUAGUUUUGUUGGGGCGACAAAAGAAGAACUAAAUCUUCUUUAUAUAAAAGGACAUGCUCCUAAAAUGAUCCGAAUUAAUCGAUUAACAAAAACAGCUACCAUAGGGAUAACAGGCUAAUCUUCUUUGAGAGCCCAAAUUGACAAGAAGGAUUGGCACCUCGAUGUUGGCUUAGGAUACCUGUUAGAAUGCAGA